GUGGCACGUAUGAUGAGACAGCAGCAGAGGGAGACCUUGUACCAUGUCUCCUCACUCUGUUUGCCCCAGUGCCUGACCUCACACACCAGGAUGUGCGUGCCCGGGGGUGCAGACACAGCAGCAGGUCUAGCCCUAGACCAGGCCAGGUCUGAGAGGACAGGAGGGGUCAGCAACAUGAAACGAUGCAACCAUCAGCCAAAGGUUUGGUCUCACACUGUCAUCCAACUCUGCCAUUUUUAGAAGCCAUUCAGGCCUAUUAGUUAAUGCACACGGUUCUGCUCUAUGGUGGAAAUUAAAGUUCCGUUUGGUAGUAUCACUGGUUGCCAUAAUAAUACAAGCAUGAUUAAUGAGGUUUCAUGGAAGUGACUGGGCAAAGAGCCUGUGAGACCUCUGCUGCUCUCAUUACUGUUUAAAUUUGCCCUUGAUGAAAAUCAGCGUUUGUCUAUGUUUCAGUUUGAGAAGUCAUGAUCAGAUUAAUGGUGUGGCCAAAUAACUACCCAUUCCAUACAGCUACAUAUACAUGCACAUGCAAGUAUACAGCUCUGACUCAUGUUAAUACACACACCAACGGUAAACCGGACUUUACACAGCUGACUGUGUACAGUUAAUGUUGUGCUUCAUCAGCAGCCAUUUAUUCAUUUUAAUUCAGUAAAUUUUAAGUAACAGGACAGUGUGCGAGUUCCCCCUACACUUGUUUGUACAUUCCCUCCUGGCUCCUUUCUUUAAGAAAAAGGUGUGCAUGCAUCAAUGGUCAAAGUUCUGAUUCUGUGCAGGACCAUAUCAUAAAUAAAACGUAAUCAUUCCUAA